rnacentral:lncRNA from 1 species
AAUGUUGGCUAAGAUAAUAAUUAUUUACAUGUCUGAUAUACUAAAAAAAGAAAAUGACAUAAGAAAUUCAACUUAAUUAAAUAUAUAAUAAUAUAAAUCCACGUGUUGGUUGCAGACAAGAAUUCUUUUAAUUUAAGCAAGAAUUGAAUUUAACACGUUAAUUUGUCGGCUGUUCCAGUCGUUCUUCGAAAUACAACAAUCAUCUUCAACACCAAACCGAAUAAAUGCAGAAUGCAGGGAAUAUUCUGGGCUGCUUUAUGUAGAAAAUACAGAAUGUCUCAGAAGGAACCACUAAUAUUACCAACGGGAUUUUGCCAAACAACCCGCUUAGUUGACAAAACGGACGACUGCACCCUCACAUCUCGAGGUGCGUCCCACCUGAAUUUAAAAUCGAACCCACCUGUGUUGUGUGUGUGCAGUCAUGCCCGCAGUAUUAAUGUCACAAAAUUAAUAUUUUAUAGUUAUUACCUAAAUUAUGUACAUUACAAACAUGUUAAUAUAUAUUUUGGUUAAUCUAAAAGCUUUUGUGAUAAAACAUUAUUUUUAACUAUUAAAUUAUACUGUUACAUUUAUAGCAUAACUUUUCAAAAGUCUUCUUGAAUGGUCAAAUUAAAAGUGUAAUAGAAGCAUCCGUCGACAAAAGGAACGCCAUAAGAUGCUCAUUUAAUGGCUAUUGAGAACGAAUUAAAUCGAAUGUUCUAUUUCUCAAUUUUUUUUAUUACUUC